CCUACGGAGUGCAGCAGUGGGGAAUAUUGGACAAUGGGCGAAAGCCUGAUCCAGCCAUGCCGCGUGUGUGAAGAAGGCCUUCGGGUUGUAAAGCACUUUCAGUGGGGAAGAAAGCCUUGGGGCUAAUACCCUCGAGGAAGGACAUCACCCACAGAAGAAGCACUGGCUAACUCCGUGCCAGCAGCCGCGGUAAUACGGAGGGUGCGAGCGUUAAUCGGAAUUACUGGGCGUAAAGCGCGCGUAGGCGGUCUGAUAAGCCGGUUGUGAAAGCCCCGGGCUCAACCUGGGAACGGCAUCCGGAACUGUCAGGCUAGAGUGCAGGAGAGGAAGGUAGAAUUCCCGGUGUAGCGGUGAAAUGCGUAGAGAUCGGGAGGAAUACCAGUGGCGAAGGCGGCCUUCUGGACUGACACUGACGCUGAGGUGCGAAAGCGUGGGUAGCAAACAGGAUUAGAUACCCCAGUAGUC
rnacentral:rRNA from 1 species